UACGUAGGGUGCGAGCGUUGUCCGGAAUUAUUGGGCGUAAAGAGCUCGUAGGCGGUUUGUCGCGUCGGCCGUGAAAACUUGGGGCUUAACCCCGAGCCUGCGGUCGAUACGGGCAGACUAGGGUGCGGUAGGGGAGACUGGAAUUCCUGGUGUAGCGGUGGAAUGCGCAGAUAUCAGGAGGAACACCAAUAGCGAAGGCAGCUCGCUGGGACGGUACUGACGCUGAGGCGCGAAAGCGUGGGGAGCGAACAGG
rnacentral:rRNA from 1 species